rnacentral:miRNA from 1 species
AGUUUUCCCUUCAAGUCAA